AAAGCAACGGGCCUUCUCUUCCCGUUUCUUCCCAAAGUCAGGAAAAGCUGGGUUGAAAGGGCGUUUAAAAAAAAAA
rnacentral:pre_miRNA from 1 species